GACGAACGCUGGCGGCGUGCUUAACACAUGCAAGUCGAACGGAAAGGCCCUGCUUUUGUGGGGUGCUCGAGUGGCGAACGGGUGAGUAACACGUGAGUAACCUGCCCUUGACUUUGGGAUAACUUCAGGAAACUGGGGCUAAUACCGGAUAGGAGCUCCUGCUGCAUGGUGGGGGUUGGAAAGUUUCGGCGGUUGGGGAUGGACUCGCGGCUUAUCAGCUUGUUGGUGGGGUAGUGGCUUACCAAGGCUUUGACGGGUAGCCGGCCCGAGAGGGUGACCGGCCACAUUGGGACUGAGAUACGGCCCAGACUCCUACGGGAGGCAGCAGUGGGGAAUAUUGCACAAUGGGCGGAAGCCUGAUGCAGCAACGCCGCGUGCGGGUUGACGGCCUUCGGGUUGUAAACCGCUUUCGCCUGUGACGAAGCGUGAGUGACGGUAAUGGGUAAAGAAGCACCGGCUAACUACGUG
rnacentral:rRNA from 1 species